UACAGAGACUGCGAGCGUUAUUCGGAUUCACUGGGCGUAAAGGGUGCGCAGGCGGCCAAGUGUGUGAGGCGUAAAAGCCCGGGGCUUAACCCCGGAAUUGCACCUCAAACUACAUGGCUAGAGCAUUGGAGAGGGUAGCAGAAUUCACGGUGUAGCAGUGAAAUGCGUAGAUAUCGUGAGGAAUACCAGAGGCGAAGGCGGCUACCUGGACAAUUGCUGACGCUCAGGCACGAAAGCGUGGGGAGCAAAAGGG
rnacentral:rRNA from 1 species